CCUACGUGCGGCAGCAGUGGGGAAUAUUGCACAAUGGGGGAAACCCUGAUGCAGCGACGCCGCGUGAGUGAAGCAGUAUUUCGGUAUGUAAAGCUCUUUCAGCAGGGAAGAAAAUGCCGGUACCUGACCAAGAAGCCCCGGCUAACUACGUGCCAGCAGCCGCGGUAAUACGUAGGGGGCAAGCGUUAUCCGGAUUUACUGGGUGUAAAGGGAGCGUAGACGGGAGGGCAAGUCUGGAGUGAAAGGCGGGGGCUCAACCCCCGGACUGCUCUGGAAACUGCCAGGCUGGAGUGCAGGAGAGGUAAGUGGAAUGCCUAGUGGAGCGGUGAAAUGCGUAGAUAUUAGGAGGAACACCAGUGGCGAAGGCGGCUUACUGGACUGUAACUGACGUUGAGGCUCGAAAGCGUGGGGAGCAAACAGGAUUAGAUACCCCAGUAGUC
rnacentral:rRNA from 1 species